AGCGAACGCUGGCGGCAGGCCUAACACAUGCAAGUCGAGCGCUCGUAGCAAUACGAGAGCGGCAGACGGGAGAGUAACACGUGGGAACGUACCCUUUGGUUCGGAACAACCCAGGGAAACUUGGGCUAAUACCGGAUAAGCCCUUACGGGGAAAGAUUUAUCGCCGAAGGAUCGGCCCGCGUCUGAUUAGCUAGUUGGUGGGGUAACGGCCCACCAAGGCGACGAUCAGUAGCUGGUCUGAGAGGANGAUCAGCCUCACUGGGACUGAGACACGGCCCAGACUCCUACGGGAGGCAGCAGUGGGGAAUAUUGGACAAUGGGCGCAAGCCUGAUCCAGCCAUGCCGCGUGGGU
rnacentral:rRNA from 1 species